rnacentral:tRNA from 1 species
CAGGGAGACAACAAAAUGUUUAAUAUUAUUAUUUUGUCACCUUAGGUCGAUCGGUAUCUCACGUUCUUAAUUUAUUAAGAAUUUCAUUUCCUGAGUUUUUCUAGGUCACACCCAUUAUUUUUCCUGGGCCAUUAGCUCAGGUGGUUAGAGCGCACCCCUGAUAAGGGUGAGGUCCCUGGUUCAAGUCCAGGAUGGCCCAUAUCUCUAUGUUGGGGGUAUAGCUCAGUUGGUAGAGCGCCUGCUUUGCAAGCAGGAUGUCAGCGGUUCGAGUCCGCUUACCUCCACUGAUUACCACCUCUUCCAUAUCUAUAGAAAGGAAUUUUUUUGGGUUGUGAUCAAAUUCUGAACGAAUCUAGCUUCCUAAUGAAAUCAUUAAGAUGCUGGACUCAUUGAAUUAAUUUCAUUGUUUUCAGAGAACCUUGACAACUGCAUAGAUUAUUUUUAAAGACAAUGAGCAUCUUUAAUGAUGCAGAUUUAUUAUUUGUGCGAACGCACUAAUAACAAUUCUAUUAAGCUGAUGCUUCAAUUUUGAAGUUAUU